rnacentral:rRNA from 1 species
UUAACAGCUCGUAGCUGGAUCAGAUCGGACAGUGCACGGUGGCCUGUUUGCUUGCUUUGGCUCCGGUCAGGGUGGCGGCAGCGGAACUACCCCGUGCUCAAACUGUCCGCUCUAACAGGCCGAAGCGGUUCCCUGUGAGUAACUCCUUAAUUGGGGUGAAGCGCCUACGCUCAACCACAUGCAUACGGACUCGCCAAUGUUACUGUGAACAACCAGCGUGUCCAAGCAGGCUUGCCUGAAUGUUCGAGCAUGGAAUAACAAGGGAUCGAUUCUCUCGGUUCUUUUUGUUGGUUUUUAACCCGAGAAGGAGUAAUGCAGGCCACGGUGUUCUGAGGUGGG